UGAGGAAUAUUGGUCAAUGGGCGCAAGCCUGAACCAGCCAAGUCGCGUGAAGGAAGACGGCCCUAUGGGUUGUAAACUUCUUUAGGGUGGGAACAAAGGACGCCACGCGUGGCGAGAUGAGUGUACCACCAGAAUAAGCAUCGGCUAACUCCGUGCCAGCAGCCGCGGUAAUACGGAGGAUGCGAGCGUUAUCCGGAUUUAUUGGGUUUAAAGGGUGCGUAGGCGGUUUGUCAAGUCAGCGGUCAAACUGCGGGGCUUAACCUCGUAUUGCCGUUGAAACUGGCUGACUAGCGUGGCGUCGAGGUGUGC
rnacentral:rRNA from 1 species